GCCUGCACCAGCAUGGACUACUUUUAGAGUUGGCCUAUUUUGUGGAAUAUUCAUUGUACUGAAUAUUACCCUUGUGCUUGCCGCUGUAUUUAAACUUGAAACAGAUAGAAGUAUAUGGCCCUUGAUAAGAAUCUAUCGGGGUGGCUUUCUUCUGAUUGAAUUCCUUUUUCUACUGGGCAUCAACACGUAUGGUUGGAGACAGGCUGGAGUAAACCAUGUACUCAUCUUUGAACUUAAUCCGAGAAGCAAUUUGUCUCAUCAACAUCUCUUUGAGAUUGCUGGAUUCCUCGGGAUAUUGUGGUGCCUGAGCCUUCUGGCAUGCUUCUUUGCUCCAAUUAGUGUCAUCCCCACAUAUGUGUAUCCACUUGCCCUUUAUGGAUUUAUGGUUUUCUUCCUUAUCAACCCCACCAAAACUUUCUACUAUAAAUCCC
rnacentral:lncRNA from 1 species